UAUUUUUUCUAAUUAUCUGUUUAUGUUGAACUAAACAUUUGUAUUUAUAAGUUGAAUUUAUCUCUAAAACAAAGAAAAUGUUUCUGACUAUGUAUCAUAGCAACAUACUAUAUAAACGCUAUCUGUCAAAAUUUACGAGGGUAUAGACAAAGUUGAAUUAUAUUCUGAAAUUGAAAUAUUUUAAAACGCAAGAAUGUGUUGCAUACUUUGGAUCUGUAACACGUUUUGGUCUUCGUGUAGGGGAGAAAGCAAUCCCGAAGAGUCCAAAAGUGAUGUAGAAAAAGCAGACGAAGCAAAAAAAUGAGGAUAAAUGAAAGAAAAUACAAGAAUACCGUAUAGGCGUUUUCACAUUUGCUUUUAUGCUCAAAUUUCAAAUUAUAAAUUUUGGAAGUUGGCCCUUACAGAAGAUUUGUCAAGCCGUCAUCUAAAAUGUUCCUAUGUAUAUUCUACAGUUCAAUGAAGAGAUUGUACUCAUUUGAAUGAAAUAUGCAACGAAAAAUAAAGAAUAUUCUAAUUAAA